CACGUAGGGGGCAAGCGUUGUCCGGAAUCAUUGGGCGUAAAGAGCUCGUAGGCGGCUCAGUAAGUCGGGUGUGAAACCCCCCAGGCUCAACCUGGGGACGCCACCCGAUACUGCUGUGGCUAGAGUCCAGUAGGGGAGUGUGGAAUUCCCGGUGUAGCGGUGAAAUGCGCAGAUAUCGGGAGGAACACCAGCGGCGAAGGCGGCACUCUGGGCUGGUACUGACGCUGAGGAGCGAAAGCGUGGGUAGCAAACAGG
rnacentral:rRNA from 1 species